AUGUGGGCUCUGCAGGCAGUUGGGGUUGGUUAUAAGUGGGCAGUCGGUAAUGGUAAAAUGGUUAGAUUUUGGGAAGAUAUUUGGCAUGGGAAUGCUCCUUUAGAUACCUAAUUUUGGGAUCUUUGUUACUUGGUUAAUGAAAAGAAUAAGACUAUUACUGAGCUUUGGGAUGGGCAAGAUCUUAAAUGUACUUUUAGCAGAAUUUUUUCUGAUGAAUUGAUGAUUUAG
rnacentral:rRNA from 1 species